ensembl:lncRNA
GGGUGGAGGAGAACGUGCAGCUGAGUGACACCAUAUCUCAGGUUGUCCAGUGUGCUUUCAAAAUUCUGGAGGUGUACAAACUCCACAGUCGACCCAUCAAAAUAGCAUUAUCAGCUGGGACGUUCGCCAAAAUGAGACUAGGAGAUGAAGAGCAUCAGGUUUGUGCUGUCAUUGGCCCGGCUGUGGAAGAGAUACGAUCGGCUGAAGCGCUGCUCGACCAUGGCGACUUCAUUCUGUGCCCUGAAGCAUGGCGGCACUGCGACAGACAAAACCUUACUGUCGAAAAUAUUGAAAAUGAAGAAGCUGUCAAGGUGCAAUACAGCAAGGAACAGC